rnacentral:rRNA from 1 species
CGGACGGGUGAGUAAUGUCUGGGAAACUGCCCGAUGGAGGGGGAUAACUACUGGAAACGGUAGCUAAUACCGCAUAACGUCGCAAGACCAAAGAGGGGGACCUUCGGGCCUCUUGCCAUCGGAUGUGCCCAGAUGGGAUUAGCUAGUAGGUGGGGUAACGGCUCACCUAGGCGACGAUCCCUAGCUGGUCUGAGAGGAUGACCAGCCACACUGGAACUGAGACACAGUCCAG